UGUCACCAACCAAUGGGCGCAUUGCCUCCACGCCUCCAUGGGGGGGACAACAGGGGGUCGUUUUUGGGGAAGAGGAAGGUGGGAGUGGGGUCGUGGUGGGGGUCACGGGUGGAAAGAGGUGAUGGAGAUGGGAUCCUGUGGGUCGCUUCUGGAAGGAUGAGGUGGAUACGGGGUCGUGGUGGGGUCACAGGUGGAAAGAGGUGACGGAGAUGGGAUCCUGUGGGUCACUUUUGGGAAGGAUGAGGUGGAUACGGGGUCCUGGUGGGGUCACAGGUGGACAGAGAUGAUGGAGGUGGGAUCCUGGUGGGUCCCUCUGGGGAGGAGCAGCGGUUGUGGGGUCCUGGUGGGGUCGCUUCUGGAAGGAGACGAUGGAUAUGGGGCUGUGGUGGGGUCACAGGUGGAAAGAGGUGAUGGAGGUGGGAUCCUGUGGGUCACUUCUGGAAG